CGCACAACGCCCUGUGUGCCCCUGGCCCCUCACUCAGCAGGGACCACGGGGAUGGGGGACUCUGGGGCUGGGGCUGGGAAGCAGUAAAGAACUGACCCUUAGGGCCAAUGCCUCCUGUACUCCACAGUGUACCCCUUCCUGGGAGACUCCACAGUGACCAAAUCCUGCGCCAGCAGGUGUGAGCCCUCGGAUGUCGACGGCAUUGGCCAGACCCGGCCAGUGUCCUGCUGCAACACUGAGCUGUGCAACGUGGACGGGGCGCUCUCCCUGGGCAGCCCCCACAGCCUGGCCCUCGCCCUCACGCUCACCCCGCUCCUGGGGCUCCUGCUGUAGAGCCCUGCCCACCCUACUGCCCCACCAGUGCCCGGCCCCACCCUCUGCCUUGAAGAAAUACAGCUGCCUCCG
rnacentral:lncRNA from 1 species